rnacentral:tRNA from 3 species
GCUGCGAUGGGGUAGUGGUAACCUCGGAGCUUCCCACGCUCCGGCCACGGGUUCGAUUCCCGUUCGUAGCA